rnacentral:rRNA from 1 species
GACGUAGGGCGCGAGCGUUGUCCGGAUUUAUUGGGCGUAAAGAGCUCGUAGGCGGCUUGUUGCGUCGACUGUGAAAACCCGCGGCUUAACUGCGGGCUUGCAGUUGAUACGGGCAGGCUAGAGUUCGGUAGGGGAGACUGGAAUUCCUGGUGUAGCGGUGAAAUGCGCAGAUAUCAGGAGGAACACCGGCGGCGAAGGCGGCACUCUGGGCCGGUACUGACGCUGAGGAGCGAAAGCGUGGGUAGCAAACAGG